CAGUCGCCGCGGUAAUACAGAGGGUGCGAGCGUUAAUCGGAUUUACUGGGCGUAAAGCGUGCGUAGGCGGCUUCUUAAGUCGGAUGUGAAAUCCCUGAGCUUAACUUAGGAAUUGCAUUCGAUACUGGGAAGCUAGAGUGUGGGAGAGGAUGGUAGAAUUCCAGGUGUAGCGGUGAAAUGCGUAGAGAUCUGGAGGAAUACCGGUGGCGAAGGCGGCCCCCUGGACAAAGACUGACGCUCAGGUGCGAAAGCGUGGGGAGCAAACAGGAUUAGAUACCCCCGUAGUCCCUGUCUCUUAUAC
rnacentral:rRNA from 1 species